GAUGAACGCUGGCGGCGUGCCUAAUACAUGCAAGUCGAGCGAACAGACGAGGAGCUUGCUCCUCUGACGUUAGCGGCGGGCGGGUGAGUAACACGUGGAUAACCUACCUAUAAGACUGGGAUAACUUCGGGAAACCGGGGCUAAUACCGGAUAAUAUAUUGAACCGCAUGGUUCAAUAGUGAAAGACGGUUUUGCUGUCACUUAUAGAUGGAUCCGCGCCGCAUUAGCUAGUUGGUAAGGUAACGGCUUACCAAGGCAACGAUGCGUAGCCGACCUGAGAGGGUGAUCGGCCACACUGGAACUUAGACACGGUCCAGACUCCUACGGGAGGCAGGAGUAGGGAAUCUUCCGCAAUGGGCGAAAGCUUGACGGAGCCACGCCGCGUGAGUUAAGAAGGGUUUCGGAUCGGAAAACUCUGUUAUUAGGGAAGAACAAAUGUGUAAGUAACUAUGCACGUCUUGACGGUACCUAAUCAGAAAGCCACGGCUAACUACGUG
rnacentral:rRNA from 1 species